rnacentral:lncRNA from 12 species
AUGAUCAAGAUGCACCCAUUCUUUUCUCAGGAAGCUAUGAAAUGGCACUGUCAGGCCCUCAUCCUGAAGAUGACGAUAACCCUUGAGAAAGACCUGCAGCCAGAGCUGCUCCCGGAUUCCUGCUCCCGACAGGCUGCAUGUGAUGGUAAAUACUUGUAUUUGAAGCUGCUAAGUUUUGGCAUAAUUUGUUCUUCUACAGUAGAUAAAAACUCUGGCAUUCAAUUGUUCUAUUCGUGUCCUUGGCCAACCUCCAACGACCAGACAAACCUGAACAUCCUCCCUUUGUGAGCUCAGAAGGAGACUGCCCGGCCCUGCUAAGAAACCCCACAGAAGUUUUUAUGCUAGCCAAUGUCUUCUCUGAUCCUCAACACGACCCUAUGAUGUUUUCCUAGGGAGUUCUCUCCUUUUCAAACAUUGUUCCAUGUUAGGUCUUGGACCCUUCAUGUCACUCCAGCUGAGGGGACAUGGGGGCCACAGCCCUCCUCCACCCACAACCACUUCUCCUUUUCCUUUGUACCAGGGAGAGGGCUGUUCUCUCCUAAUCUAAGUCCAGUUUCUUUGUCAGGAAGCUUCUUUCCAUUCCCUAUGUUCUCAAGCUCCUUCCUCAUUCAACUUCUCCUUAUCCGCUGGCUCAGCCCUAUAACCAAGCUCCCAUCUACCUCCUCUGGAAAAGAAAAAUUCCCUUCCAGCCUCACAUCCUGCUCUGCCUACUCCUGUCUCCUCCUCCAGGCAGCAGGAUUCCUUCAAGUUGUCUGUUGUCCACACUGACCAGCUUCAUGGCUGAACCUUCAGGUACUGCAUCAUCCACUCAGGCUGGCUCCUUCCCUUGUAGGAACUAUUUAUGCGAAGGUUAUUCAUGAUCUCCUUAAUGAUAAAUCCAGAGACUCCUUUUUAUUAUGGGAAAAUAAGAACUUUGUGAUGGGAAGUUUCAGACAGGUGCCCAAGUAGAGAGCACAGCACAGUGAGCCUCCAUGUGUUCAGCUCCCAGUUAGUAGCUCCCACUCAGGUACCCACUGCCUCCCACCCCACCCCAGGAUUAUGUUGAAGGAAAUACCAGGUAUCGUAUCAUUUAUCCCCAAAUAUUCAGCAUAUAUUUCUUCUUAAAAAAAAAACCACACAUUUUAUUCAUUUAUGAGAGAGAGAGCGCACACAAGUGGAGGGAGGGGCAGAGGCAGAGGGAGAAGCAGACCCCCUCUGAGCGGGGAGCCUGACUUGGGGCUCGAUCCCAGGACCCUCAGAUCAUGACCUGAGCUGAAGACAGAUGCUCAACUGACCAAGCCACCCAGAU